rfam:Clostridiales bacterium 1_7_47_FAA supercont2.1 genomic scaffold, whole genome shotgun sequence.
UAACGCAAAGAUAAAAACACAGUCCCGGCCGGUAGUCCGGGCGCAGUUCCAAAAAUCUGUCAGUAACCUGCCUCCUCGGUUGUCCAUUCUUUGCUGUUGAAAG